GACGAACGCUGGCGGCGUGCUUAACACAUGCAAGUCGAACGGUGAAGGGGCCUGCUUUUGUGGGUCCUGGAUGAGUGGCGAACGGGUGAGUAACACGUGAGUAACCUGCCCCCUUCUUCUGGAUAACCGCAUGAAAGUGUGGCUAAUACGGGAUAUUCUGGGUCUGUCGCAUGGUGGGCCUGGGAAAGAUUGCGCCUUUUUUGGCGUUUUUGGUGGGGGAUGGGCUCGCGGCCUAUCAGCUUGUUGGUGGGGUGAUGGCCUACCAAGGCGGUGACGGGUAGCCGGCCUGAGAGGGUGGACGGUCACACUGGGACUGAGACACGGCCCAGACUCCUACGGGAGGCAGCAGUGGGGAAUAUUGCACAAUGGGCGCAAGCCUGAUGCAGCGACGCCGCGUGAGGGAUGGAGGCCUUCGGGUUGUGAACCUCUUUCGCCAGUGAAGCAGGCCUGCCUCGUUUGUGGGUGGGUGACGGA
rnacentral:rRNA from 1 species